GGCGGUGGCGGACUUGACCCACCUCCGGCUUCAAGUUCCGCCAGGUAACUAUCUCGGCCGCCGCCUAGUCCGUACACCGACAUAUCACUCUCCGGCGGCGAUAGCGCUAUGUAAUCGCUCAAUCCGCCGCCAGAAUCGGACGUCAACGGACUUGAAACGGCGGCGGCGGCGGCCCCGUUCCACCACAAGGUCGUCUCCGGCGACGACAGCGCGACGUUAUCAACGAAGACACCGGUCUCCG
rnacentral:misc_RNA from 1 species